CUCCUUUGUAAAUUUUGUCCAAAGGCUGGCUACUCUUGUGGUUAUAUCUCCAGCAACCAAGAUUUAGCCAAGUUUUUUUAAAGUUAGGAUUUUCUUUGCCCUUAUGCUGUAAUGUUCAACACUUAGUGUUACCAUCCUAUGACUGGGUAUUUGGUGAAAACACAUUAUUUUGAAAAUUUGCCUGUAUUUUAUGAAUGGACUUUAAUUUGAAGAUGGGAGUCCAAGCCCUGAGUCUUCCCCCAAAUGGUUGUGUGAUCUUAGAUACGGAACUUAAAUUCUUUGGACCACAAUGUCC